UAAAAGAAAAAAAAAAUGGAAUUUGUCUUCCCUCUGAAAAGACCAUUCACACUUUGGCAUUAGAGAUGUGAAUAGGCCCUCAAGAAAAGAAUGGAUUCCAAUUCAGCAGUAAAAAGAGACCAUUUGCCAAUGGAGGAAAAAUUGUAUGACACUAUAUUAUUUCCAGGAUUGGACUGCCCCAGCAAUUAGAAGUGAGGAAAAACAACUGCCAUUGGUUUGCUUGGAUUUUUUUGCUGUUCAGAGAUAGCAGAACGGAGUAAAGAUAGAAAGAUAAAAACUGAUUCUCUGGGAUCAUCCAAAAAGUAGAGAUACUUUCCCCAGCACACUGGAGGGAGUGAAUGUAGCUGUUUCCUAAUCAGAUCCAUGGGUGUUUAAAUCUGAACAUCUCAGUUAAUCCAGUGACAUUCUUAACAUUAAAGGGUGUUAAAACGUAACAUUAAUAUUUAAUGUUAAGUGCAAGAGAGAGCAUGGCACAAUAAGCUUGAUUUCAUUUUAAACAUAGUAUUUUAAAUUAUUGGAAAAUAGAAGUAAAAUAGUUUUCAAGCCCAAACUAAACUUUUGUAUAGUGUACGUGCAUAUGUUGUAUAUUAGUGAACUUUAAAUUCUUGCUUAAUAGACCUGUUCACUUCUUUCACAUUUAUGUGAAUUAAAAUCUUCCUCUUAAAAUUAUACGCAGCAGGAUAUCAACAUGUAGAAUGAAUUUCAGAUCAUUGCUGGACUGUCUGCAAAGCACACUGGAUCUGUUACAUGACAUGACAGAAAUAAUGAAGACUCUGGGGAAAUGCAUUUUGUUUACACUCUGCUGUGCUCUAAUGCUAUUCUCAUUUAAAGAUUGUGGCAGAUCCUUAAAAAACAAGGGGCCUUAAAAAUAUUUAAGAAAAUUUGUUAAGAUCUCUCAAACCUUUGAAGCAGAAAAAAAUGUUUUUUGAUCUAUGAAUGGAAUGAAGCUUUCUGACUGCAGUUGGGAAGUCAGUAGCCUGAUCCAUUGGUUCUGUGCAUCAGUGUGGCAACAUCAGCAAACAUUGUGUGAGGCAUAUUCUCCAAUGGCUUCUACAAACUGACUCCCUACUCUUCUCUGUCUGCAUUUACCCAAAGAGGCUGACCUCUAUUGACUGAAUCACCCAGGCUCACUAGCCUCAUAAAUAAAAACUGAUAACUUCUUUUUGAUUUGUUUUGAUAAUAAUAUUUUGAUACUGAUAGGCUACAAUGCCCGCUAGAAAUUUAGGACCUAUAUCAUGAUAAUCUGGAUAAAAUUCAAGACACUUUAAUUUAUACUUCUGAUUAAGUUAGGAAUAAAAAAGUGAAACAUUUGAAUUGGUACCUACAAAGUAAAAUAGAAAUUCAGGCACUCUGUUUGGGUGGAACAUGACUUACAUUUGAAGAAAAUACAGAAAUAGGAGACCAGUUCUAUAUUUUUUUUCCUACUUCAAGAAAAUAGUUUAACUAUUCUGUGUUUAUUUUAAAUAAAAGCAAAAAUGCAGAUUACAAGUCCAUAUUUUUUCUUUUAUCCGAACCUCUAUUUCAGAAUAGAAUUGCAAAAAUAAUGCUACCCCACUGUGUAAAGGAAAUGAGAAAUGGAUAGACCAUUAAGGAGGAGUGUGAAUUUAUAUAGUGCAUUAGCAUCAAAGGAUAUAGCAUGGAUAUGCCUUAAAAAUUCAGUUUAAUGACACUUGGAUUUGUAUUGCUGGCUGUCUUAGAUGUUAAAUCCCUGAUGAGGUCAUAAGUGUAACCUAUCUUGCCAAAAACCUCUGAGAUGAUUUUUUUCCUUAUCAGUUUUUCACUUCGUUUAUGCAGUUUAAUUUAUUUAACAAUGAAGAAAUAGUUUACAUUAAACACUCUGAACACAGGAAAAUAAAAUAGCAUAUAAAUUCUUAUCUGUCUAAACCAUAGCAAAGUCAGAUAAAAAUUGCCUAUGUUGUUUGAGAGUGCUAUUUCCACACAUUUUUUUUGUCCAGCACCUAUUAUUACUGAGGAUUAAAGGAAGACAAUAGAAUUCGGUCUCUCUUUUUUUACCCUACCUUAAAAAUAGAAAAGAGUAAAUUGGUGCAGUCAUAAAAUUUUAUACAGAUGCAUACAUAUAUUCAAAUGUAAAUUUUAGGUUUUCUCAGGCUUAAUUAUAAAAACAAUGUUUGUGUUUGAUGCUUUUAGUAUCCAGUUGUCAUGAUUUCAGAAUUGGUGAAAGAUGGUUUUCAAUGGCUUUUGAAAGUAAAUGAUGCCCCAUUGAUGAACAGGUCUGAAUUCAAAUAAAGAAUACUUGUCAGA